rnacentral:rRNA from 1 species
ACCGUACUCCUACGGGAGGCAGCAGUGGGGAAUUUUGGACAAUGGGGGCAACCCUGAUCCAGCAAUGCCGCGGGAGUGAAGAAGGCCUACGGGUUGUAAAGCUCUUUUGUCAGGGAAGAAACGGUAGUAGCUAAUAUCUAUUACUAAUGACGGUACCUGAAGAAUAAGCACCGGCUAACUACGUGCCAGCAGCCGCGGUAAUACGUAGGGUGCAAGCGUUAAUCGGAAUUACUGGACGUAAAGCGUGCGCAGGCGGUUGUGUAAGUCAGAUGUGAAAUCCCCGGGCUCAACCUGGGAAUUGAAUUUGAGACUGCACGGCUAGAGUGUGGCAGAGGGGGGUAGAAUUCCACGUGUAGCAUUGAAAUGCGUAGAUAUGUGGAGGAAUACCGAUGGCGAAGGCAGCCCCCUGGGAUAACACUGACGCUCAUGCACGAAAGCGUGGGGAGCAAACAGGAUUAGAUACCCUAGUAGUACUUGAC